GUCUAUGGCCAUCCCACACUGAAUGUGCCUGGUCCCCUGUGAUCUCAGAAGCUAAGCAGGGUUGGGCUUGGUUAGAGCUCAGAAAAUAAAUUGGGCCAUCUUACUUUAGACC
rnacentral:rRNA from 1 species